rnacentral:tRNA from 1 species
GGCGCGGCUGGCGGAUGCCCUGCCGCCGCAGGCGCUGCUGGUGCUUGACGGGGCCUAUGCGGAAUAUGUCGAUGGCUACGACGGCGGCGCUUC